rnacentral:lncRNA from 1 species
GAUAACCACCUGCCUUCGAUAGGAAAACCGACAAUCCCAGUGUUGACUGGCUAGUGAUAACAGUAGUAACUACUUAACCCACUCGACCACCGAGCCCCCGGAAGAAAACCGAACUGCUACGGAAAUCAAGGGACAUCAUUAGCAACUCUCACAUUUCAAAUUGGUUAUCGUGCUCAGUGUUGAUUAUGAAUUGUUGUCAUUAGGUGUUGGUUUUUUUAGCAAAGGUAUGUAUUUUUCCCUUUAUUUUCCUGUGUCUU